rnacentral:lncRNA from 1 species
AAAAAAAAAGUAAAGCAAAAAAGAGUUUUUGUUAACUUAUGAAAAUAAGCUUUUUUUGAAACAAACUUAUGAAAAUAAGCUGAAGUGAAGUGAAAACGAGAAAAACAAGAAGAAGAAGAAGCAAGAUUAAUUAAGUGAACCUAUGACCCUUAUGACCCAAAAGAGUAAACCAAUUGAAACAAUAGCAAUAACAAAGGUGACACGUUGUUCAAGAUCACCAUUGAAAAUGGAAGAAGAAGAAUAAGAAAUUGAAUGAAGCAAGAAGAAAAAUACAAAGUGAGUGUGUAAUGAAGUAAAGUCCUUCUUUUGUGGCCAAUCACUUUCUGAUUGAGACACAAGUGAGGGAUUUUUGGGUUUGAAAUGAACAGUGAAGAAAGAGAAAGAAAAGUAAAAGGAUG